CAAGAGUAGGGAGUGAAGAGAAAUGUGGAAGCUCAGCACCUCUGUGCCCCAAGAAUGAUGAUGAAGUGGCGUCAUUUGUCUGGAGUAAUACCCAAGAUUCGUUGCCUCACGCCAAGGAAAUCAAGAAGCUCCUGUAUCAAUGACAGAAGGGAUCUUUCUUCUCCCUCCCUCUUUUCCACACCUGGGUGCAUCUACCUGGUUUGGGGGAGGGUGAGCGACACAAGGAACAAAGGUUGAGAAGGAAUCAGCAGAAGAAAAGGCUCAGAACUGAAAACAAAGCAUCUUCCACAGAGUCAAAUAUAACAGCACAGGGCCUAGGAUACUGUGUGACCUAGAGAAAAGGGAGCAAAGCCAGCCUUGGGCCCAUCUUUCCGCAGAAAUCUGGAAGAAACA
rnacentral:lncRNA from 1 species